UACGUAGGGGGCAAGCGUUGUCCGGAAUUAUUGGGCGUAAAGAGCUCGUAGGCGGUCUGUUGCGUCCGCUGUGAAAACUCGGGGCUUAACCCCGAGCCUGCAGUGGAUACGGGCAGACUAGAGGUAGGUAGGGGAGAAUGGAAUUCCCGGUGUAGCGGUGAAAUGCGCAGAUAUCGGGAGGAACACCGGUGGCGAAGGCGGCUCUCUGGGCCUUACCUGACGCUGAGGAGCGAAAGCGUGGGGAGCGAACAGG
rnacentral:rRNA from 1 species